GGGUUGAAGUGAGCGCAAAAUGGAUAGCGCGGACGCCCCCUAAGCGUCAGGUCGAGGGUUCAAAUCCCUCCGAGCCCG
rnacentral:tRNA from 1 species